AAACCCUCAAGAAAUUUUGAGGUUAAUCUAUAGGAAGCUGAAGAAUGCAACUCCUCUCGGAUAAUUAUGGCUGCUCUCUAAUAAGUUUUAGCUGCUGCUUCUCUUCUAAUCAUCUCCUUUUUAUAAGGCUACUUAAGUAGGGUUUCAACAAAGUAUUAUUUUGGCCCCUGGGGAUCAAUCAUUUUAGGGUGGUUUGCGAAACUAACUCUUAAAUUGUUGUUUAUUACUGAUUUGUAUGAGAGAGAAAUAAUGUGAAAAAUGGCAGCGUUGUCCUUACUCAGCAUUUGUAGGAAAAACCGUAAUUACGGGUGAUGCCAUUAAAAUUAAAUUCCACGUCGGAGAGAGAGUGACAAAUUUGGGAGGGAAAACUCUCGCCAAUUAAUAAGUCUACCGAAUUAGUUAUGGUAGACUUUGACUUGGAUAUAGAGAUAUGAUGUAGAGAGGUCGGUUUUUGACAUAGUUGUCAGUUAGAGAUUACUAUAGUGAUGGUAGAGUGAGUUAGUUGAUAGAGUAAAGAAGUAUAGUUUCCAGUAGUGGUGGUAGAGUUUUUAAAAGUAUAGAGUUAUCUACGAGAUAUGCUGUAAUGGGGGUAGACUUAGUCAGAAAAGAUAGUUAGAGUUAUGGUAGCGCUAAAGUUUCCUGACAGAGUAUGUUGCAGUGGUGGGAG
rnacentral:lncRNA from 1 species